UGCGGAAGUACACAUAGACCCGGAAGUGAUUGAUCGCUUCCGGCGUCGCGGCAGCCAAUCGGAAAAGAGCGAGGGCGGGUCGAGGGAGGAGCCCGCUUCUUUUAAAGCGGCCGCGGCGGUGUGAGGGCGUGGUGAGGUUUCGUUUGUGGUGCUUUGGGUUUGUGAUCCCGGCCUUCUCGGUCUGUGGGUGCGUUUCCUCAAGUAUCCUUCUCCAGAGGAAUACCAAAUUUGAUCUCUCACUCCCCAAUGCUUUGAGGUCUUUAGAUUGGAAAUGCUGAGCACGCUUUGAGGCAGGGCUGGAACAGCAGUGGUGAACAGCAGGAGAAGUCAAAGGAGAUGUGUACAGCUCUUGCUAAAUGCAAAGCUGGGAAUCUCAUGCCCCUCAGGCAGGAACCACUUUUUCAUGGUAUGAUUCAUAUUUGUGUGUUAUUUGUACUAUGCACAGUGAUAACUGUGAUCUGUGAUAAGAUCAUAAUCCCUGGGAAGCCUUAUGUACCUCAGGGAAGGUAUAAGCCUGGCUUAUGAGCAGCACUGGAUAUUACCUGACUCAGAAGUCAUGCACAACUUCUAUGGAGGUUGAAGAUGUAUAUCCUGUAUCCCACACGGUGUUUUUCCUAACAUCAGGCUGGAAUAAAAUUUUCUGCCUUACCUUGCAGAAUUAUGUUACUUACUGUGCUGGCUUUCUGUCUCACUUUGUGCUGUGGUCCAUUAGAGUAAGUAAAACUGGCUUCAGGAAGCAGAGUUGUUUCCUCCUUCCCACAGGAACAGGAGGUUAUCUGCUUGCUAGAGGCUCCAGGGAAAGAAACCCGAGUCAGAGGUUGUCUUCUCACAGCUCUGGAAAAAAAUGGCUGUAGAUUUCUGGAAUGUGAAGGGCCAAGCAGCCCUGCUCCUUAACUGUUCACUGCAGCAACAGCAGUACAAGCUUCCUCCUGUACCUUCCAAGAACUCAUCAUUAGGCCAGAA